GAUGAACGCUGGCGGUAGGCCUAACACAUGCAAGUCGAACGGCAGCACAGUAAGAGCUUGCUCUUACGGGUGGCGAGUGGCGGACGGGUGAGGAAUACAUCGGAAUCUACUUUUUCGUGGGGGAUAACGUAGGGAAACUUACGCUAAUACCGCAUACGACCUACGGGUGAAAGCAGGGGAACUUCGGACCUUGCGCGAUUGAAUGAGCCGAUGUCGGAUUAGCUAGUUGGCGGGGUAAAGGCCCACCAAGGCGACGAUCCGUAGCUGGUCUGAGAGGAUGAUCAGCCACACUGGAACUGAGCCACGGUCCAGACUCCUACGGGAGGCAGCAGUGGGGAAUAUUGGACAAUGGGCGCAAGCCUGAUCCAGCCAUACCGCGUGGGUGAAGAAGGCCUUCGGGUUGUAAAGCCCUUUUGUUGGGAAAGAAAAGCAGCAGGUUAAUACCCCGCUGUUCUGACGGUACCCAAAGAAUAAGCACCGGCUAACUUCGUG
rnacentral:rRNA from 1 species